rnacentral:misc_RNA from 1 species
CCCAAUUUCCGUCACGGUUUUCGUGUUUCUCUUUAAUUCCGGUCUAAGCGAUAAGUAUUAAAGUUGUAGUGUUCUUCGAAUUAACUUUAGCCGUAGUACUUCUAGUUAGCCGAAUUGAAAUACAGAUGUUCGACAACUGCAGUAUAGUUCUGCUUGAGAAAGGUUGUGCUUAAUCAUGUUAAUGCUGAGUUCGUAAUUUUUAGUGCAAAGAAUUGGUGUUUUCUUGAUUUUUUAAAAAUAGAAUUUUUGUAACGGGUAGUUGUAGUAAUACUACUAAUAGUAAUACUAGUAGUAGUAGUACGAAGUACUAUUGACUUCUUGCGUGCUAUUGUUUAGCUGCGAUACUACGAAUGUGUAAUUUACAUUAUACUGUAAAUUGAGUAAAUUCAGAAUUUCAUGUCAAUAAGGUAUCUUUGACUUUACACAAAUUAAAUAUAGUCUUGUUGUGAACAACGAUAUAAGUUAUAACUUGACAUUUUACAACCAUCAACAUGCAAGCAAUUAAAUGUGUCGUAGUUGGAGAUGGAGCUGUGGGUAAAACCUGUCUAUUGAUAAGUUACACAACAAAUGCAUUUCCAGGUGAAUACAUCCCAACAGUGUUUGAUAAUUACUCUGCCAAUGUUAUGGUGGACAGCAAACCAAUCAAUCUCGGUUUAUGGGACACGGCAGGACAAGAAGACUACGACAGACUAAGGCCACUAUCUUACCCUCAGACAGAUGUCUUCCUCAUUUGUUUUUCUCUAGUGAACCCUGCAUCAUUUGAGAAUGUCAGAGCCAAGUGGUAUCCAGAGGUUGGCCACCACUGCCCCAAUACACCCAUUAUUUUGGUAGGAACCAAGCUAGACCUACGAGAUGACAAAGAUACCAUCAACAAGUUGAAAGACCGUAAACUUAACCCCAUCACCUAUCCUCAAGGGUUGGCUAUGGCUAAGGAGGUGGGAGCCAUCAAGUACCUCGAGUGUUCGGCACUGACCCAAAAAGGUUUGAAGAACGUCUUCGAUGAAGCGAUUCGAGCUGUUCUGUGCCCUCAACCCAAGCCAAGUAAGAAGAAGAAAUGUGUGAUACUGUGAAAUAUUACUUCUGAGCCGACAGUUUGAUAAGAAAUCUUCUUGCUGACAGGUGUGUUCUGUCAUCGCACAGAUUGAUUCACUCGUGUCGUCGAGGGCCAAGCAUUGCUACAACAUUGAACCUAGGAUACCAUCUUAUUUCUUUGUAUGUGCCAGUAACAGUUCAUUGAAAAAGUGCAACUAAUAUUUGGUUCAGGACUUGUAGUUCUGAAUUCUUUCAGUUGAUUAAUGCAUUUAAGUUGACUUAAAUAGCUGUUGGAAAUAUAUAUAUAUAUAUAUAAUCAACUUUUAAUUUUUUAUUUUGUUAAUUUGUCAGUACUGUUUAUUUCUUUGUAAUAAUCAUGUCUGUAUAAAGAUUAUUUUCAUUUAACAUAGUUAUAAAGGCUGAAAAAAAACCCAUUAAACUGGAUUUUUUACAUUCAAAACAAUUAACACUUUAUGAAGAAGUUGUAAGAUAAAACAUAGGUGUCACAUUUAAAGCUAAGUUUAUAUGUGUAUGUUUGUUUUUUUUUACUAGCAGUUCGACAGGUAAUAUAGAUUUUGGCUAUUGGUGGAAUCUGACACUUGAUUAGUCAUUGAGCCUACUAAUAGAUUAUCCUUACAUGAGAGUAAGAUUGGUGGGAGUAUCAACUUUAAUUAUUUGAUUAUUCUCAGGAGUCGUGUGUAUUGAUUAAGCUUGAACAAUCGGGAAUUGAUUUAAGAUUAUAAUAGCACUAUUUUUCAUUGGUUACUUUCAAGAACACUAAUUUUGAUUAUUUUAUGAGAAACAAAUCAACAUAGUCGAGUUGACUGCUCAUUUCUUAUAUUAAUGUUUUGCCAAGUUAUUAUUCUUGCAUAUAAAGAGUCAAAAUAUAUGAGUUUACUAACAUACAGCCCAGAUUUAGUAUAAUGCAGUUUCGUGAUAAAGGAAAUGAUCGUUAUUCUGGUCAACCGACUUCAUAAUCUGCAUCAAACUGAUCCUGUUUUACUGGUAAGCUAAAUUAAUGUAGGACGAGUGCGUGGAGUAUUAGUGGCUGAACUUGUAAGGUACGAGACAAAAGAUCUCAAUGUUAUAUAGCGACUGUGGUUGGUUGGUACCUAACGACUGUGUAUUAGAAUUAGAUACAACCUUAACGCUAAUUAACUUAAAAUUUAUUAUAAAAAGAACCAAUGAAGAAGUAAAACAAUGAUAAAAAAUCCUGGCGUUCUGUCCGUAAGUGAAUAUCAAUGAUACGCGUACUUCUGACAGUUAUUCUCAACAGAAACAUUCUAGCAAUUAUCUCAGUGCUAUCUCCUACAAUACAGUAACAAUGACAGUGAAGUACAGAAAUAAACAUUUUCUUAAGGGAAAAAAUUAUUUUUUUCUUAUACGUAUUAAAAUUUUGUUUUAUUAGUCACAAAAAAGUUGACAUGGUUAAGCUGAAAACCCAAAAUUAAUAAAUAUUGCAAAAAUGAUUACAAUUUUAACCCUAAUUUCCUUCCAAACAGCCACACUUUAAGAUAAAUAUCUACAUAAAUGGUGCAUGUAUUUUAUGAAAAGUAUGUUAAAAUGUGUAAAAAUUGAAAAAAAAGUUAAAUGGUGCUAUUCUGUAUCACUCUAUAUAUAAAUGUCGGAUUGUAAUAAACGUUUGAAAAAGUUAAUGGUGCUAUUCUGUAUCGCUCUAUAUAAAUGUUAGUGUUACGUUAUAAAUUCUGUAUCGCUCUAUAUAAAUGUAUGUUACGUUAUAAAUUCUGUAUUGCUCUAUAUAAAUGUUAGUGUUACGUUAUAAAUUCUGUAUUGCUCUAUAUAAAUGUUAGUGUUUUACGUUAUAAAUUCUGUAUCGCUCUAUAUAAAUGUU